AGAUUGAACGCUGGCGGCAUGCUUUACACAUGCAAGUCGAACGGCAGCACGGGGGCAACCCUGGUGGCGAGUGGCGAACGGGUGAGUAAUGCAUCGGAACGUAUCUUCAAGUGGGGGAUAACGCAUCGAAAGAUGCGCUAAUACCGCAUAAUCUCCGAGGAGAAAAGCAGGGGAUCGCAAGACCUUGCGCUUUUGGAGCGGCCGAUGUCUGAUUAGCUAGUUGGUGGGUAAAGGCUUACCAAGGCUUCGAUCAGUAGCUGGUCUGAGAGGACGACCAGCCACACUGGGACUGAGACACGGCCCAGACUCCUACGGGAGCAGCAGUGGGAAUUUGGACAAGUGGGGGAACCCUGAUCCAGCCAUGCCGCGUGAGUGAAGAAGGCCGUUACGGUUAGUAAAGUCUUACUUUCAGACCGGAACGAAACCGGUCACGGUACCUUAACGUAACCGUAGAAC
rnacentral:rRNA from 1 species